rnacentral:snRNA from 1 species
CUGUUAACGCAGGAGGUACACUAAUAUUGGAGCGAUACAGAGACGAUUAGUUGGUCCCUGCUCAAGAAUGAGACUCACGACCAUGAAGCGAUCUAUAUUUUU